AUGCUCAAAAUUCUCCAAGCUAGGCUUCAACAGUACAUGAAUUGUGAACUUCCAGAUGUUCAGGCUGGAUUUAGAAAAGGCAGAGGAACCAGAGAUCAAAUUGCCAACAUCUGCUGGAUCAUGGAAAAAGCAAGAGAGUUCCAGAAAAACAUCUAUUUCUGCAUUAUUGACUAUGCCAAAGCCUUUGACUGUGUGGAUCACAAUAAACUGCGGGAAAUUCUUCAAAAGAUGGGAAUACCAGACCACCUGACCUGCCUCUUAAGAAACCUAUAUGCAGGUCAGGAAGCAACAGUUAGAGCUGGACAUGGAACAACAGACUGGUUCCAAAUAGGAAAAGGAGUACGUCAAGGCUGUAUAUUGUCACCCUGCUUAUUUAACUUCUAUGCAGAGUACAUCAUGAGAAACGCUGGGCUGGAAGAAACACAAGCUGGAAUCAAGACUGCCGGGAGAAAUAUCAAUCACCUCAGAUAUGCAGAUGACACCACCCUUAUGGCAGAAAGUGAAGAGGAACUAAAGAGCCUCUUGAUGAAAGUGAAAGAGGAGAGUGAAAAAGCUGGCUUAAAGCUCAACAUUCGGAAAACUAAGAUCAUGGCAUCUGGUCCCAUCACUUCAUGGCAAAUAGAUGGCCAAACAGUGGAAACAGUGGCUGACUUUAUUUUGAGGGGCUCCAAAAUCACCGCAGAUGGUGACUGCAGCCAUGAAAUUAAAAGAUGCUUACUCCUUGGAAAGAAAGUUAUGAUCAACCUAGACAACAUAUUAAAAAGCAGAGACAUUACUUUGUCAACAAAGGUCCAUCUAAUCAAGGUUAUGGUUUUUCCAGUAGUCAUGUAUGGAUGUGAGAGUUGGACUAUAAAGAAAGCUGAGUGCCAAAGAAUUGAUGCUUUUGAACUAUGGUGCUGGAGAAGACUCUUGAGAGUCUCUUGGACUGCAAGGAGAUCCAACCAGUCCAUCCUAAAGGAGAUCAGUCCUGGGUGUUCAUUGGAAGGAUUGAUGUUGAAGCUGAAACUCCAACACUUUGGCCACCUGAUGGGAAGAGCUGACUCAUUGGAAAAGACCCUGAUGCUGGGAAAUAUUGAGGGCAGGAGGAGAAGGGGACGACAGAGGAUAAGAUGGUUGGAUGGCAUCACCAACUCGAUGGACAUGGGUUUGGGUAGACUCUGGGAGUUGGUGAUGGACAGGGAGGCCUGGUGUGCUGCUGUUCAUGGAGUCACAAAGAGUCGGACACGAAUGAGCGACUGA
rnacentral:lncRNA from 1 species